rnacentral:rRNA from 1 species
AUGAGAUACCUUGGGCUGCUGUUGUCCGUUAGGCGUCUCAAGCGGAUUCAUUUUCAACACCUCGAGGAUAAGGUGGCCAGCAAGCUCCCCCCUUGGCAAAGCAGACAUGUCGCCACUGCGGGUCGGGCCGUUCUUGUUAAGGCCGUCCUCACCGCUAUUGCCAUAUAUCACCUGACGCCUCUCGACAUCCCGGUCGAGGUUCUGAAGAAAAUUGAUAGUCUACGGCGCGCCUAUCUUUGGGCGGGCACAGACACAGUUUCCGGUGGAAAAUGCAAAAUAAACUGG